GGUUGGAUGGGGCCUUGAGCAGCCUGAUCUGGUGGGUGGCAACCAGCCCAUGGCAGGGAGCUGGGACUGGCUCCCUUCAACCCAAACAAUUCUGUGAUUCUAUAAUUCUUUAAUCACACUGAGACAGGGCAUAGCCUCUCCAAGGCUGUGGAUAGCCUUCUCACAGCCAAGUAUAGCCCUCAUUUUUGUACAUCAUUUUGAUGGCAUAGUCAUCAUUUUUGCAUUUUGCACAUAUGGGACAGCCUGUUGCACGGCUAUGCAAAUACUUAUUUCAAGGUCACCGACGUUCACCCCUCUUUACCCCCUACACCUGAUUUUUCUCACCAGAGGAGAGUGCUGAGGAAUUCUGCUGUGAUUAAUAACCCUCUCUAUCCCCCUGGGCUUAUUUUUUUCCCUCCAUUUUUAAUUUUACAUUCUGCUUACCAGCUGCUCUUGUUCAUUAGAAAAACAAACUCUCUCUAGCUCUCAUUAGCGCCAUAUGUCUGCUGGUUAUUUGAAAAAAGAAUGUAAAACAUAUUUAAGGGAUUAGUCAGAUCAUGAUAGGCAAAAAGCUCAAAAAGAAAAAUGCAAAGGCAAUGCACAUCUGAUUGUUGCAUCAUUGCUCCAGCUUCUCACAGCUAUGCACGACCCUGGUGUUCCCUCCCUGAUCCACUCGUGUUUUCACAGACGCAGUGAAACCACAGCCAUUUCCCCAGCUCUCACCAAUUCCCCAGCAGAUAAUUUUAUCCCAUUCUCUUAAUUUUGAGGAAGCCACAACUGACCAGAAGCAGCUUUCAAGCAUAAGCCAAGGGCUGGUGCUAUCUGGGGACAGCUGUUCCCCAAACGCUGGUGAGGUUUCUCAGGGCUGUCCCCAUGAUGCAUUCCCAGAGCUAAGCCCCACAGGACACAGCUGGCUGCUGUCUCCUGCCUUCCUCUCUGCAACACUCUCCUACAGAACAGCUCUCAGUAUGCAACACUUGAAGCACUUUUUUCCUGAAAUCUCUAUUUCCAAGUCUAAACUUAUUUAUUUAAUUUCAACUCCAAGCAUAGAAAAUCACUUUUCUUCAGGACACAAUAAGGCAAAAACUCUAACCUAUUUCUUUUCUCCAGCAGCUCCUGUCAUGCAACAAACUCCUUUCCGGAGAAAAAUAGCAAGCCAUUAGCUGCCUGAGCAGAGACUUCCUGCCCGGAGGACACGGGGAGCAGGAACGGCUCUAAGUGGAUCCUCUGCAGCAGAAAAUCUCGUUUAGAAUAAUAACCCAAAGUUGUGUCUCCUGAGAGGCUGCUCAUUUGAUGGAGGUGGGUCGAUUUCAUUCUCCCCUGAAGCACAUCUGGAAAAACUGAGGCACAUGAGACAUUAAAGGCAAUGCAUGAAAAUCUUGAAAAGGCAGGGAAAAAAAGUCCAAUUCUGAUCAAGCACUCAGCAUCCUACACGGAAGAUCAGGCUCUGGACAACCUGAUCUAGCUGUAGGUAUCCCUGUUCAUUGCAGGGGAGUCAGACUAGGUGGCCUUUAAGGGCCCAUUCCAACUCAAAUAAUUUUGUGAUUCUAUGACUUCUUACAGUACAUGAAACAGAAUUGGUGGAUACAUUGCAAUAGUUAUGGGGAUUAGGCAGAACACUAAGGUAGAAAUAUUUU
rnacentral:lncRNA from 1 species